rnacentral:sRNA from 1 species
UAAAAUUAUUAAAUAAAAAACAACAACAAAAAACCGAAGGCGCAUUUUAUUUUCUACGAUCUUAGUCAAGAAGACGUUGUAAAACUAUGAUAAAAAGCCGCACAAAAUCAGGGGAAAAAAUUAGUCUGCAAAAUCAAUCAAUUCAACAUAUUCAUAUGCUGGAAACAGUUUAGGAUAUUCAGGUCAUACAAUUCUGUGGCACUUUUAUCUCCUUAAACAUCAAUGGUUUUCGGUCAUCAUAUACCAACUUGUUAAAUAUAUAUCAUCUCUGUUUGUGCAUAUUUUUUAAUUUUUUUAUCGUAAUUUUUAUUUUCAUAAACAGGAAUGCACCUUAUCCGUAUGGAAUCGCACUGCCUCUGAUUAUUUCAGUACGACACGUAUCCGUGAUACACUCCGGAGGAUAUUAAAUUUACCUGCUUCUGUGCCAAUGGAGUAUAAGAUACACUGUGAUAGCCUUAAAUAUAUAGCAAUAAAUAAUAAAGGGACUGCAAAAAGCUGAAACUUGAUGAAUUUGUGUUAUAACAAUAAAUAAAAGAAACAAAAAAAAAGAGGAAAAAACAAAACCACAAAAAUAUCAACAAGUAAGGACUAAAGAGACAACAACAAACAAACAUUAUACAAGAUGUUUACCCUUUAAAAAGUUAUCUAAAAGAAAAUAAGUAAAAA